GGGGGGGGGGGGGGGCGGGCGGAAGGCGUGCAAGUCGAGCGAGCAGAGGAGGGGCUUGCUCCUCUGACGUUAGCGGCGGACGGGGGAGUAACACGUGGAUAACCUACCUAUAAGACUGGGAUAACUUCGGGAAACCGGAGCUAAUACCGGAUAAUAUAUUGAACCGCAUGGUUCAAUAGUGAAAGACGGUUUUGCUGUCACUGAUAGAUGGAUCCGCGCCGCAUUAGCUAGUUGGUAAGGUAACGGCUUACCAAGGCAACGAUGCGUAGCCGACCUGAGAGGGUGAUCGGCCACACUGGAACUGAGACACGGUCCAGACUCCUACGGGAGGCAGCAGUAGGGAAUCUUCCGCAAUGGGCGAAAGCCUGACGGAGCAACGCCGCGUGAGUGAUGAAGGUCUUCGGAUCGUAAAACUCUGUUAUUAGGGAAGAACAAAUGUGUAAGUAACUAUGCACGUCUUGACGGUACCUAAUCAGAAAGCCACGGCUAACUACGUG
rnacentral:rRNA from 1 species